rnacentral:rRNA from 1 species
AAUGGGCGCAAGCCUGAUCCAGCCAUGCCGCGUGAGUGAUGAAGGCCCUAGGGUCGUAAAGCUCUUUCGCCUGUGAAGAUAAUGACGGUAGCAGGUAAAGAAACCCCGGCUAACUCCGUGCCAGCAGCCGCGGUAAUACGGAGGGGGUUAGCGUUGUUCGGAAUUACUGGGCGUAAAGCGCGCGUAGGCGGAUUAGUCAGUCAGAGGUGAAAUCCCAGGGCUCAACCCUGGAACUGCCUUUGAUACUGCUAGUCUUGAGUUCGAGAGAGGUAAGUGGAAUUCCGAGUGUAGAGGUGAGAUUCGUAGAUAUUCGGAGGAACACCAGUGGCGAAGGCGGCUUACUGGCUCGAUACUGACGCUGAGGUGCGAAAGUGUGGGGAGCAAACAGGAUU